AAACUCUUGAGCAGCAACAACAGGACCAUAUACUCCGCCAUUGUUGUGUAUGUUUGUUCGCGCUUGCCUUUAAAAUCAACACGUACUGCUCAUGUCUACACACCUAACAUGUACUAUGCAAGUGCAUGAUGUCACCGUUUUCAAAGAUUCCCGUAUUGGGUGUUUACACGGAAACCAUAACAGUGGCAUUUUCAAAAACUUGCACUUUGAAACCCGUUUUCAAAAAUAUGCAUUUUCAGUCCCCAAAACGCCGUUGUCGUGUAAACGAACAGGCAAAACGCAUAAAGUUUCCCAUUUUGGGCCGAAAACAUUGUCGUGUAAACAUAGCUGUUGAAAAUGGAAUUUAUUUAUUUAUUUUUUUAAAUAGUUACAACAGAAUGUCAAAUUAAGAACAAUUUUAAUUCAGACUUUUGGUGAGACGCCUUAUCUAUGUGUGCUCCAGCACAUUCAUCAAUUCUUGUGACGCAUGCCUUGAAGCACCUAAAUUGUUGGCAGAUUUAAAGGAUAUGUUUGCCAACUUAAAACCAGCUUUGUAUAGUUACAGUGUUGGCAGUAUGUGUGCAGGAACUCUUGAUCUGCUAACUGACGUAAAACACAUCAUUCUGCAUCACGCCGCUGACUUUAACAGCUCCAGGGCUUUUGUUGAAACGACAGAACAUUUUUAUAUUCCUGCUUUCGGUCAGUCAGAUCAACAGAGGGGUGGCACCAAAAUCAAAGUGACAUUUUUGGCAAAACAGAAAACCAAAGCCCAUUUUCUGUUUUCUCUUCUCGUAUAUCAGAUUUCAAAAUUUUUUUUUUUUUUUUUUGCAUUUCUACUGCAUACAUUAUAAGCCUGUAGCAAAUUAGCUCAAAAGGCAAAUAUUAAUAAUUAACUUGUUAUAAAACAUUUCUUUGGGUCCAAACGGACCCAGAAUGUGAAAAUCGUAUAAAUAUUUUGAAUGCAUUAUACGGGUUAACACUGUUUUUAGUAGGCUACACAAUAUGCUAAAAAAGAGUUUUUUUCUGUUUUCAGUUGACGAUGCUCGUUGUCUUUCAAAUGGUGACGAGAAUACAGCUCAAAGUCAGCUUGUUACGCCAUCAGGUGUCCCGUCGUCGUGUGCACCUGAUAAAUCAGCGGCUCCGGAUAACCUCAAACCGGUGGUAUCAGUACCUUUGAGUGGCAGUAACAGUGGGUCUGAACCGGUGACGCCGGGGGAUUCACUCCAGGCUAUAACAACCCAGAGUCUUGAGCCCAAGUCCAGUGGAUGCAACACGUCUGCCUUGAGAUGUGGGGAAAAGCGGGAGAGGGAAUCAGACGACCCCUCUGAAGUUCCUGUGAAACGCCGCUUGAGACCAUCAGAGGAUAACGGGAAAGAAUGUUCACCAGAUUACGACCAGAGAUGUGCGGAGCUAUGGAUCGAUGGUGAAAUGGCUGCUUGUGAGGCUUAUGAAUUAUCAAAGUCCAGCAGCGACACCCAGCGCCGACAUGUUGUUCCACAACACGACAAUAACAGUUCUGUCAGUCGGCCUCCCACACAGAAGGACUUUGCACGUGCUGUUCGAGCCGAAGUGGCAGCCUGUUUUCAACCCCUCACAAAGUUGAUUAGUUUGAGUAUUGAGUGGAGCAGAACUGAUUUCGCUGAGGUGAUAAGUAGACUUCGUGCACUGCAGAGGGAUACCACAGAGUUGGGAAGUGAAAUCCGUAAUAUGCGAGCAGAUAAAAGACAGGCGUUAGAUGAAAUCUCUCUUAUGGAAGAAAGAAUGAGCGUCAUUCAAAGGUGUGUGUUAGAGACGCACCAAAUUAUGAAUACUACUAGAAAAUGAUGGGUCUGUUUAUCAUAGCAUACUGAUUUUGGUUCAACCCUAUUUCUGCUAAACUUUUCUUCUUUUUUUAUAUAAUUGUAUUAACGAGUGAUUAUAAUUUUUUUUUUUUUUUAAUGAUGUGCAUGCUUGUUUAUUACAUAACUUUUGUGUGUUAUUUUAAUUUUUUUUUUUUUAAAUAAAUUGUUUCAAAAUGGCCCUAAAAGAUGUCA
ensembl:lncRNA